rnacentral:rRNA from 1 species
AUCCUCCAAGGCUAAAUACUCCUGAUUGACCGAUAGUGAACCAGUACUGUGAAGGAAAGGCGAAAAGAACCCCGGUGAGGGGAGUGAAAUAGAACCUGAAACCUUGUACGUACAAGCAGUGGGAGCCCCAUCACUUAAUCCGAUUGGAAGGUGAUGAAAAGCAACCGCACUUAAACAAUGGUAAGAGGAGCGAAGCGAGUCAAACCACCCAAAAGAAGCAGUGGGAUUAAGUGAUGGGGUGACUGCGUACCUUUUGUAUAAUGGGUCAGCGACUUAUAUUUUGUAGCGAGGUUAACCGAAUAGGGGAGCCGAAGGGAAACCGAGUCUUAACUGGGCGAAUAGUUGCAAGGUAUAGACCCGAAACCCGGUGAUCUAGCCAUGGGCAGGUUGAAGGUUGGGUAACACUAACUGGAGGACCGAACCGACUAAUGUUGAAAAAUUAGCGGAUGACUUGUGGCUGGGGGUGA